UGGGGAAUAUUGGACAAUGGGCGCAAGCCUGAUCCAGCCAUGCCGCGUGAGUGACGAAGGCCUUCGGGUUGUAAAGCUCUUUUGGCGGGGACGAUAAUGACGGUACCCGCAGAAUAAGCUCCGGCUAACUUCGUGCCAGCAGCCGCGGUAAUACGAAGGGAGCUAGCGUUGUUCGGAAUCACUGGGCGUAAAGCGCACGUAGGCGGAUUUGUCAGUCAGGGGUGAAAUCCCGGGGCUCAACCUCGGAACUGCCUUUGAUACAGCAAGUCUUGAGUUCGAGAGAGGUGGGUGGAAUUCCUAGUGUAGAGGUGAAAUUCGUAGAUAUUGGGAAGAACACCAGUGGCGAAGGCGGCUAACUGGUCCGGUACUGACGCUGAUGUGCGAAAGCGUGGGGAGCAAACAGGAUUAGAUACCCCAGUAGUCCCUGAGCGGGCUGGCAAGGCGCAU
rnacentral:rRNA from 1 species